rnacentral:rRNA from 1 species
CGGACGGGUGAGUAAUGUCUGGGAAACUGCCCGAUGGAGGGGGAUAACUACUGGAAACGGUAGCUAAUACCGCAUAACGUCGCAAGACCAAAGAGGGGGCCUUCGGGCCUCUUGCCAUCGGAUGUGCCCAGAUGGGAUUAGCUAGUAGGUGGGGUAACGGCUCACCUAGGCGACGAUCCCUAGCUGGUCUGAGAGGAUGACCAGCCACACUGGAACUGAGACACGGUCCAG